rnacentral:rRNA from 1 species
AUUGAACGCUGGCGGAAUGCUUUACACAUGCAAGUCGAGCGGCAGCGCGGGGGCAACCCUGGCGGCGAGCGGCGAACGGGUGAGUAACAUAUCGGAACGUACCCUGUCGUGGGGGAUAACUAUCCGAAAGGAUAGCUAAUACCGCAUACGACCUGAGGGUGAAAGCGGGGGACCGCAAGGCCUCGCGCGAUAGGAGCGGCCGAUAUCGGAUUAGCUAGUUGGUGAGGUAAAGGCUCACCAAGGCGACGAUCCGUAGCGGGUCUGAGAGGACGACCCGCCACACUGGAACUGAGACACGGUCCAGACUCCUACGGGAGGCAGCAGUGGGGGAAUUUUUGGACAAUGGGGGCGAA